GGUGGUGCAUGGUUGUCGUCAGCUCGUGUCGUGAGAUGUUGGGUUAAGUCCCGCAACGAGCGCAACCCUUAUUCUUAGUUGCCAUCAUUUAGUUGGGCACUCUAAGGAGACUGCCGGUGACAAACCGGAGGAAGGUGGGGAUGACGUCAAAUCAUCAUGCCCCUUAUGACCUGGGCUACACACGUGCUACAAUGGACGAUACAAAGAGUCGCAAACUCGCGAGAGUAAGCUAAUCUCAUAAAAUCGUUCUCAGUUCGGAUUGUAGGCUGCAACUCGCCUGCAUGAAGCCGGAAUCGCUAGUAAUCGCGGAUCAGCAUGCCGCGGUGAGUACGUUCCCGGGUCUUGUACACAC
rnacentral:rRNA from 1 species